rnacentral:rRNA from 1 species
AUUGAACGCUGGCGGCAGGCCUAACACAUGCAAGUCGAACGGUAGCACAGGAGAGCUUGCUCUCUGGGUGACGAGUGGCGGACGGGUGAGUAAUGCAUGGGGAGCUGCCCAAUCGAGGGGGAUACCAGCUGGAAACGGCUGCUAAUACCGCAUACGCCCUGAGGGGGAAAGGUGGGGACCUUCGGGCCUACCGCGAUUGGAUGCACCCAUGUGGGAUUAGCUAGUUGGUGAGGUAACGGCUCACCAAGGCGACGAUCUCUAGCUGGUCUGAGAGGAUGACCAGCCACACUGGAACUGAGACACGGUCCAGACUCCUACGGGAGGCAGCAGUGGGGAAUAUUGCACAAUGGGGGAAACCCGUACGAUGCAGCCAUGCCGCGUGUGUGAAGAAGGCCUCGGUU